rnacentral:lncRNA from 1 species
UUAAACCCUGUCUUCAUCCUAAACAAACAAAUUCUUGUUUUGUUGGAUUUUCAAACAUGGGGUGGUACAAUUAUUUUGCAGGUGUACCUGUCUUACCUACAUUUUUGGUGUCAAUAAACUAAAUCACAAACAGUUCUUGUACAGUGAUACCAAAUUAAUUAAAUUUUAUGAAAAUAAAAGUUCGCUUAUAUAAAUAAAUAAAUAAAUAAAUAAAUAAUAGCUUUAUUGUCCAACAGGUAUCCAUUUAUAGGACAAUUUUACACUAAUUAUAAACUAAAUUUUAAAUUUUAAAGAAAAGAAAAAAGAAAAGAUAAUUACCAAGUGAAUUAUACGGCGAAUUAUAUGGCGAACAAUAUAAUUUUUUUUGGAAACUGUUAACUUUGGAAAAAAAAAUGUUAUAGGACUUUUUUGUUCUACAUUGUGUAUUAUGUCCAUACCUUAAAGGAACGCACUAUUUUCUGGGACACCGUGUAUAUCAUAUUUUUAUAACCUUGCAUGUUUUAAAUUCCACCUGUACUUGCUAUUUUUCUUAAGAGUCUAAAGACUGUAUUCUGCCCUCUUUAAUAUUCAAUGUUGUAUCCUUCUACGUCUAACGUGAUCAUACCAUUGCAGUCUUUGUUCUUGAAUCUUUUUUGAGACUGUACUCACUCCAAUUUUUCCUAAUCAAAUCGUUUCUGAUCCUGUCCCUUCUUGUUUUACCCAGCAUCCACAUCUUCAUUUCAGCUACCUCCAUCUUCUUUUAAUGAAUCUUCUUUAUAGGCCACACUUCACCACCGGACCUAAACCCUGUAAGCGCGCAUGAUGCUCUCAAGCAACGUUGACUUCAAACUCUAAAAUUUCGAUAUACUUCGAAUUUUACCACAGUAGGACGGUGUGGUAUCCAAGCGACAACCGUUCGUCUAUGAUUCCGCCAUGUGCGCCAUCUGUAUUAAAAUUUUUUAACUUAGUAAGCAUCAUUUCGAGUGUGAGGUUUCAAUGGAAGUGUUGUAGUGCCGACGUUGCUAGUUAAAUAUAAACAAAUCGAAAUAUGGACAUCCCUCCUGUUACGUUUUAAAAAAAAAAAAACGAUCUACAUACAUAGUUCCUGUAGAGCAGAUGUAUCAGAUACAGAGAGUAUAUCCGAUGAUAAGGACAUCGAAAGUAAGCAUUUGGAUGAGUGUUCAGUUGCAGAUUCGGGAGAUGAAUAUGAUGAAAUACAAAUAGGUAGCCAAAAAGAGAUAGCUACAAAUAGGUAGCUAAAAGUAUAACCAAUGCAUUUAAAAAAAUUUUAAAUGGACAUAGCUGAAUCUUUUCACCAAAAAGAAGGGGCGGCCUUCACUGAACGAGACGGUCGAAAAAAUUGUAACUCAUACGAAAAGUCGACCACAUGACAUCACUAGGAAAGACAACGUGGGACACUGGCCCAUCUAUGGACCAAAAGGAAGAUGCCGCUUUUGCAAGAAUGGCUACAUGACAAUUAUGUGUCAAAAAUGUGACAUGAGAUUAUGUUUUACACCGGGCAAGAAUUGUUUCUUUAAUUUCCAUAACUCUCCAUAAAUUUUUAUCUUUGUUUUUUCUUGUAACUGUGUAAGUAAUAAAGUUCAUGUUUGCUUA